rnacentral:rRNA from 1 species
AUGUUCGAGUAUGUAAAUGUUGCCAGCAAGAUGUUUGAUAGUGAGGCUGAAGGCUAUGAAUUCUACAACAAAUAUGCUCUUGAAAAAGGUUUUAGUGUGAGGAAAAGCUACGUUGAGUGGGAUGGAUCCAACAAAUACAUAAUUUUAAGGAAAAUUGUGUGUAGUCAUCAAGGGUUUCGCGAAGAUAAGCACAUGAAAAGAAAGAUGGAAGAUAGAAAGAGGAGGCCACGAAGUUUAACUCGUGUUUGUAAUGCUAAAUUGGUCAUUACGAGACAGGAGGAAACCGGUCGGUGGUUUGUCAAGGAUUCCAUCGAUGAGCACAGCCAUCCUCUAGCCGCACGGGAUCUUUCUUGUCUGCUGCGUUCGCACAGACGAAUUAGCGAUGAGCAGAAAGCGGACAUUGCGGACAUGGAAAAAUGUGGGAUCCGUGAAUACCGUAUUAUGGAUAUUUUGUGCUUUCAAUACGGUGGAUUUGAUAAGGUUGGAUGCAUAAAGAGGGACGUUUACAAUUUCUGCCAUGCUAAUAAGCAGGAGACAAUCAGUGCCGGUGAUGCUAAAAUGGUGAUCAUGCACAUGAUGGCGAGGCGAGAGCGAGAUGUGGAUUUUUUCUUCAAGUACUUGGUAGACGAGCAUGGCCAUCUGAAGGGACUGUUCUGGGCUGAUAGUCAAUCGCGACUUGAUUACGAGGCUUUCGGAGACGUCAUUGUUUUUGAUAGCACAUAAAGAACCAACAAAUACAAUCUGCCAUUCGUGCCUUUUGUCGGGUUGAAUCACCAACGCAGCACUGUUAUAUUUGGCUGUGGUAUAAUUUCUCUUGAAACAAGCCAGGCAUAUGAGUGGAUGUUGCGGACCUUUUCUGAUUGCAUGGCACAGAAGCAUCCGGUAUAUGUGAUCACAGACGGGGACCUUGCAAUGCAGAGAGCAAUAAGGGUGGUCUGGCCAGACUCAAACCAUAGACUAUGUAUAUGGCACAUUCAGCAGAACAUUGUACGCCAUCUGCAUGAUGACGACGUAAAGGAGGAAUUCAGAUCGUUCAUUUAUGAUACUUCUUCCAUUGAAGAGCAUGAGAUAAAAUGGAUACAUUUCUUACAACGGAAUAAAGUAACCAGUGAGGAGUCUUGGCUGCAUCAGAUGUAUCAGAUGAGAAAGUUGUGGUGUGCACCAUAUCUUGAGGGGCGUUGUUUCCUAGGAUUGAGCAGUAAUCAAAGGAGUGAGAGCUUGAACUCUGUGCUACAUACGCAUCUUGAGGGUAAGAUGUCGUUGUUUGAAAUGCUAGAGCACUAUGAGCGUUGCCUUGCGUCGCGACGGAUUAACGAAGCUCUCCAUGACGUCGAAGCCUUGCAGUACGUUCCAUUUACAGAGGAAAAUGCUUCGCCGCUUGAGAAACACGCCGCAACAGUUUUCACACCUAGGGUCUUUAAGAUGGUCUUAUGGAGCAUAGAUGCUGUCAGCAAAUGUCAGAUUAGAGUGAUACUAGAUGGAUCAGAAGAUUCCACUUAUGUUGUGUCCAAGCAGGAAAGAAUGGAUAAAAAGUUUGGAGUGCGCAUUGAAGAGCAAGGAGGUCUUUUGCACAGGGUGAGUUGUUCUUGCCGUAAGCUGGAAUGCGCAGGCACACCAUGUUCCCACAUUUUUUACAUAUUGGGGAUUUUAAAACAAACAAUUCUGCCCGGUUGUUGCGUUCCCACUAGGUGGGCUAUGAAUGCAAAAUGUGCAUACGCACCUACCAGAAAAACCCAGAUGUAUGACUAUUCGCUAAGCCUGCAGAGGUACCGCGAGUUGCGGAAUUGUAGUCACGCCGCAAGUUUCCAGGCAUGCCACUCUGAUGAGGACUAUCACCGUCUAAAGAUGCUUUUGCAAGCACAACAUCAUGGCAAGCAAUCAAGUUUUGAACUAGCUGACAGCAAGGAGUCAACUAAUGCUCAGCAUAACAGCAUUAGGUUUGGCCCGUUUAUGCCGCACUCGCAGAAAGUUGAUAAGGUUCUGGAUCCCGUGCAUGUGCCAGGACGAGGUGCACCGAAGAAAAGGCUGCAGGCAAAGACAAAGAAGUCAAGAUCACAGAAUAUCUGUGGCUAUUACAAGAAACCAGGUCACAAUCGACGUAAAUGCGCUAAAUUUCUAGAGGUACGAAAUAUGUUCAUAUUUUUUUGCAUGUGUUUUACUCAUAAUUGA